GUUGCGUUUGGUACGCGGGACGGGACGGAACAGAGUGGGACGAGGCGUUCCGUCCCGCGUUUGGUGCGCCUAAAAUGAGUGGAACGGGCUGUUCCAUGGAACAGAUUUUGGAUGAUUUUCUGUUCCACACCCCCACCCUGGAACGGGUUGUUCCACGCCUGUGGGACAGAAAUUUCCAAAAUUUUAAGACAAAAAUGCCCCUUGUCUUUUUCAAAAUUUACAUCAAAAAUCAUAUAACAAACCCUAAAAACUAUCCCUCUUCUUCUCAGCCGUCGUGUUCCUCCCUCUGCAUCUUCCCUUUCCUCCUCAUCUUCUUCCCUGUAGCCUCUUCACCUCUGCAUCUUCCGUGUAGCAGCUCUGCGAACCUUCCUCCUCAUCCUCUUCCGUAGCAUCUUCAGCUCUGCAUCUCGGUUCCAGAUUCGGGAAACCGUCCCUUUCAGAUUUUUGGCCAAAUAUGGACUCAAUGGAGGGAUGAUCUUGCAAGAGAAAUAUAUGAUGAGUGGAGAGGAAGGAGGGCUUGAAAAUUGGUUAACAUGGUAGUUGUUGUAAUUGUCUUUUAGAUGUGGACUCAAUGUAGUUGUUGUAAUUGGCUUGAAAAUUCGUAACAUCAAGACUAUUGAGAUGUUUGUUAUUGUAAUAUGGUAAUUGGGAGUUAUCUAGAUAUUAUGGCUUA